rnacentral:rRNA from 1 species
GGCAGGUCAGCAUACUGCCGUGAAUACGUUCCCGGGCCUUGUACACACCGCCCGUCACACCAUGAGAGUUGGGAAUACCCGAAGCCUGUGAGCUAACAUUUAUGAGGCAGCAGUCGAAGGUAGAAUCAAUGAUUGGGGUGAAGUCGUAACAAGGUACC